rnacentral:rRNA from 1 species
GGGGAGUGGCAGACGGGUGAGUAACGCGUGGGAACAUGCCCUUUGGUUCGGAAUAACUCAGGGAAACUUGAGCUAAUACCGGAUAAGCCCGAGAGGGGAAAGAUUUAUCGCCGAAGGAUUGGCCCGCGUCCGAUUAGCUAGUUGGUGAGGUAAUGGCUCACCAAGGCGACGAUCGGUAGCUGGUCUGAGAGGAUGAUCAGCCACAUUGGGACUGAGACACGGCCCAAACUCCUACGGGAGGCAGCAGUGGGGAAUAUUGGACAAUGGGCGCAAGCCUGAUCCAGCCAUGCCGCGUGAGUGAUGAAGGCCCUAGGGUUGUAAAGCUCUUUCGCCAGGGACGAUAAUGACGGUACCUGGAUAAGAAGCCCCGGCUAACUUCGUGCCAGCAGCCGCGGUAAUACGAAGGGGGCUAGCGUUGUUCGGUAUCACUGGGCGUAAAGCGCACGUAGGCGGAUCUUUAAGUCAGAGGUGAAAUCCCAAGGCU